UGACCAGGCAAGAAGGCCUCACAGAACAGUUUGGAAGCAGCUGUUUUUGCUGACUGUGUGAUACACAACCUUCUCAGAAGGAGCCACUUCUGAAGCAGCAUGGUGAGGUGUCCCUUUGCACAGCUCCAUACGUGGCUAGUUGGGCUGAGGAUGGAGCAGUGCUGAGGCUGAUUGCCCUACUGCAGAAAUGGCUCUGGAGGAUCCAUCCCCGUGCCUGCAGCUGAGGAUGUGACCAAGCUAGCAAAGCAGCUCUGCCACUGGGUUCCUGCUCUACCCUGGUGCUACAUGUGGCCUCCACCAGCAUGGAUAGGUGCUCAUGCUUAGCUGGCCAAUGGAGCAGGGCUUUAAACUCCACCAACGUGAUGCCGACCAGCUUGUGAUCCUCAUCCAUCCAUGAAGACCUGAG
ensembl:lncRNA